UUGGAAGGGUGGGGCAUCGCUGGUGGCGCAAGCUGCUGGAGGAAAGUCCGAACUCCUCAGGGCACGGGGCCGCGGAAACCGUUCACCGCUGGUGCAAACCAGCUACGAGCGGCCUGACCGCGGGCGCGACGGACGAAAGUCCGUCACGACAGACAGUGCCACAGAAAACAAACCGCCGGGGCCGCAAGGCUCCGGUAAGGGUGAAAAGGCGGAGUAAGAGCCCACCGCCCGGCGCGUAAUCGCCGGGGCACGGAAAACCUCCCCGGGAGCAAGGCCAAAUAGGGAACCCAGACGCGGCCCGUGUCGUGUUCGCGCAAGCGAACGGGUUCCGGGUACUGGCCGCAGAGAUGAAUGAUGUCCGCCGGACCUCGUAAGGGGACCGGAACAAAAUUCGGCUUACAGCCCUUCCAAGACC
rnacentral:RNase_P_RNA from 1 species